GAGUUGUGAAAGCCCCCUUUGGUUGCAGACCUCUACACUGAGUUGAUUGAUUCUUACCCUAGGAUUGCUUACCCAUAUGAAACGUUCUGCAUUUCUUCUACACAGAUGGUGGAAGGAAGGAGGCAGCCCAUAUCAAAACUGGGAACACUGCGUUACUAACCAAGGCUACAGCUUAAGAUACUACAUGCAGGCUACUUGCUUGCAGAAGUCAGGAUGGAAAGGUACUAGAAGGGCAGCAGGAACAAAAAUGCAACCAGAGCUCCAGAUCAGAGCGGGCUGCAACACAACUUGAUACCCAGACUCGGCCUAGGGAGCAGAAAUAUGCACCUUCUCCAGCACCCACUGCUACGCAGUGGCUUCCAACCUUCUUUUGUUGGUGCUUCCCAAAAAGACUGGAGGAUGGGCAUUUCCUGUCUCCUCAGUCCGUCAUGACCCAGAACAGGUACCUCUCCAUCCCUUUUUAAUAUCCAUUCUCUCUCUCUCUUCCCUGAGCUGGGUGUUCUGAGAGUAGCUAGGCUCUGAGAGAAGAUAAGCCUAGGGUGGUACAUGGGCCUCUCAUGUACAGGGAAGCUGUGUCCAUGGCCAGAUACAUUGGGGGGGGGCUGGCACUGGAGCAGGGAGAGACUUUCCAGGAGAC